UACGGUAGGGCGCAAGCGUUUAUCCGGAAUUAUUUGGGACGUAAAGAGCUCGUAGGCGGUUUGUCGCGUCAUGCCGUGAAAGUCCCGGGGCUCAACUCCGGAUCUGCGGUGGGUACGGGCAGACUAGAGUGAUGUAGGGGAGACUGGAAUUCCUGGUGUAGCGGUGAAAUGCGCAGAUAUCAGGAGGAACACCGAUGGCGAAGGCAGGUCUCUGGGCAUUAACUGACGCUGAGGAGCGAAGCUAGGGGAGCAAACAGG
rnacentral:rRNA from 1 species